rnacentral:rRNA from 1 species
GGUAGUCCACGCCGUAAACGAUGUCGACUUGGAGGUUGUGCCCUUGAGGCGUGGCUUCCGGAGCUAACGCGUUAAGUCGACCGCCUGGGGAGUACGGCCGCAAGGUUAAAACUCAAAUGAAUUGACGGGGGCCCGCACAAGCGGUGGAGCAUGUGGUUUAAUUCGAUGCAACGCGAAGAACCUUACCUACUCUUGACAUCCAGAGAACUUAGCAGAGAUGCUUUGGUGCCUUCGGGAACUCUGAGACAGGUGCUGCAUGGCUGUCGUCAGCUCGUGUUGCGAAAUGUUGGGUUAAGUCCCGCAACGAGCGCAACCCUUAUCCUUUGUUGCCAGCGGUUAGGCCGGGAACUCAAAGGAGACUGCCAGUGAUAAACUGGAGGAAGGUGGGGAUGACGUCAAGUCAUCAUGGCCCUUACGAGUAGGGCUACACACGUGCUACAAUGGCGCAUACAAAGAGAAGCGACCUCGCGAGAGCAAGCGGACCUCAUAAAGUGCGUCGUAGUCCGGAUUGGAGUCUGCAACUCGACUCCAUGAAGUCGGAAUCGCUAGUAAUCGUAGAUCAGAAUGCUACGGUGAAUACGUUCCCGGGCCUUGUACACACCGCCCGUCACACCAUGGGAGUGGGUUGCAAAAGAAGUAGGUAGCUUAACCUUCGGGAGGGCGCUUACCACUUUGUGAUUCAUGACUGGGGUGAAGUCGUAACAAGGUAACCGUAGGGGAACCUGC